GUCCCGUUCGUCUAGCGGCCCAGGACACCACCCUUUCACGGUGGGCACACCGGUUCGAUUCCGGUACGGGACUCCA
rnacentral:tRNA from 1 species